AAAAACGGAAGAGUUAUGCAUAUAAAAAGAGAGAAAGAGAAAACAAAAGAAAAGAAAAUUUGAGUUAAAUUCUGGUGUACAACAAUUGGAUGAACAAGAAGAGGCACUGCACUACAGAGAGGGAGGUAGAUGGUAAUAGAGAGAAUGAUGUAA